AUGCAAGUUUCAUUUGUUUCUAUCCCUCUUGUGAUUACGAACAAGUUUGUUAUAGUAAAGGCUUUCAAGAAUGGUUCGAGCAUUCAUUUCUUCUUAGCAUCUCCAUGCUUUGUCAUUUACAUUUUUUUUAUUAUUGAAUUAUUUUAUCACUUUGGUUUAAUGUUUAAUAAUAUAAAAAUACAAUUAGACAUAGAACUUUUGACUUUAUAUUUUAUUCGAUUUGUUUGUAAAUAA